AGAGAAUGAGAGAGAUAAAGUCUGGUGUUGCAACAGUAACGGCAGAGCAACAGCUUCAGCAACGGCAUCAGCAACAUUACAGUCGACGAAACUUUGUGGAACUCUACUCGUUAUAGAGGAGCAAAACGAGCCGCCAAAUGUUCUCCACGAAGGCACUCGAAAGUUUCUCAAACGAUCACGUCCUACCAACUUACGCGUUUCCUAUGCUCGUGUUUACAGGAAGGGGUUGGAUCGUUCGAUAUUAAAGUGCUUAGCUAAGUCAUUUGGCUAAGAAUAGAAGCAAAUGGGUGAAGGGUGAAACGUGGGAGGACACUAAAUGAGAAGAGACGAGAAUCGUUACAACGAUAGUUUGACGUUCAAAGGGCGUUACUUGAAAUAGUUUUUUAAGAAGAGAUAUUUCUGAAGGAACGACGUAAAAAGUAUC